rnacentral:rRNA from 1 species
UUGGAGGGCAAGUCUGGUGCCAGCAGCCGCGGUAAUCCCAGCUCCAAUAGCGUAUAUUAAAGUUGUUGCAGUUAAAAAGCUCGUAGUUGAAUUUCGGGAUCAAUACGUCGGUCGUGCCUCCGGUAUGUACUGGCGUCGUUGGUUUCUCCUUUCUGAGGAGCCAUGAUGCCAUUAAUUUGGUGUCGUGGGGAAUCAGGACUGUUACUUUGAAAAAAUUAGGGUGUUUAAAGCAGGCACGCGCUUGAAUACAUUAGCAUGGAAUAAUGAAAUAGGACGUUCGAUUCUAUUUUGUUGGUUUCUAGGGUCAACGUAAUGAUUAAUAGGGAUAGUUGGGGGCAUUAGUAUUCAAUUGUCAGAGGUGAAAUUCUUGGAUUUAUUGAAGACUAACUACUGCGAAAGCAUUUGCCAAGGAUGUUUUCAUUAAUCAAGAACGAAAGUUAGGGGAUCGAAGACGAUCAGAUACCGUCGUAGUCUUAACCAUAAACUAUGCCGACUAGGGAUCGGAUGAUGUUAAUUUUUUAAUGACUCAUUCGGCGCCUUACGGGAAAC